ensembl:lncRNA
GGGGGGGGUGGUCUGUAUGGGGGACGGUCUGCCAAAAUAAAGGACCCCAAAGUGCUGCGCUGGAUGUGUGUGUGUGUGUGACCCACUGAGCUCCGCUGGGCUCCAUUGAGCUCCAUUGAGGUGGAGGACCACUAUAGAGCCCCACAGAGCCCCACUGAGCCCCAUAGAGCCCCAUAGAGUCGCAACAAACCCCAUAGAGCCCCAUAGAGCCCCACAGAGCCCCAUUGAGCCCCAUAGACCCCAUAGAGUCGCAACAGACCCCAUAGAGCCCCAUAGACCCGAUAGAGUCGCAACAGACCCCAUAGAGCCCCAUAGACCCUAUAGAGUCCCAACAGACCCCAUAGAGCCCCAUAGAACUCAACAGACACCAUAGAGCCCCAUAGAGCCCAUGGAGAUCCAUAGAGCCCCAUAGAGCCCCAUAGACCCCAUAGAGAUCCAUAAAGAUCCGUAGACCCCAUAGAGUUCCAUAGAGAUCCAUAGACCCCAUAGAGCCCAUAGAUAUCCAUAGAGCCCCAUAGACCCCAUAGAGAUCCAUAGAGAUGCAUAGAGCCCCAUAGAGCCCCAUAGACCCGAUAGAGAUCCAUAGACCCCAUAGAGAUCCAUAGAGCCCCAUAGACCCCAUAGACCCCAUAGACCCCAUAGAGAUCCAUAGAGAUCCAUAGAGCCCCAUAGAGCCCCAUAUACCCCAUAGAGAUCCACAGAGCCCCAUAGAGCCCAUAGAGCCCCAUAGAUCCCAACAGACCCCAUAGAGAUCCACAGAGCCCCAUAGAGCCCCAUAGAGCCCAUAGAGCCUCAUAGAGCCCCAUUCUGCCCCACAGAGACCCAUAGAGUCUCAACAGACCCCAUAGAGCCCCAUAGACCCCAUAGAGUCCCAACAGACCCCAUAGAGCCCCAUAGACCCCACAGAGUCACAACAGACCCCAUAGAGUCCCAACAGACCCCAUAGAGCCCCACUCUGCCCCAUAGAGACCCCAUAGAGCCCCACUCUGCCCCAUAGAGACCCCAUAGAGCUCCAUUCUGCCCCAUAGAGGCCCCAUAGAGUCCAAUUCUGCCCCAUAGACACCCCAUAGAGCUCCAUUCUGCCCCACAGAGACCCCACAGAGCCCCAUUCUGCCCCAUCCCACCCCAUAGAGACCCCAUAGGCCUCAUUCUGCCCCACAGAGACCCCACAGAGCCCCACUCUGCCCCACAGAGACCCCAUAGAGCGGCAUUCUGCCACAUAGAGACCCCAUAGAGCCCCAUUCUGCCUCAUAGAGACCCCAUAGAGACCCCAUAGGCCUCACAGACCCCAUAGAGACCCCAUAGAGACCCAUUCUGCCCCACAGAGACCCCAUAGAGCCCCAUUCUGCCCCAUAGAGACCCCACAGAGCCCCACUCUGCCCCACAGAGACCCCAUAGAGCCCCAUUCUGCCCCAUAGUGACCCCAUAGAGCCCCAUUCUGCCCCACAGAGACCCCAUAGAGCUCCAUUCUGCCCCGUGGUGACCCCAUAGAGCCCCAUUCUGCCCCAUAGAGACCAUAGAGACCCCAUAGAGCCCCAUUCUGCCCCAUAGUGACCCAAAGAGCUCCAUUCUGCCCCAUAGAGACCCCAUAGAGCCCCAUUCUGCCCCACAGAGACUCCGUAGGCCUCACAGACCCCAUAGAGACCCCAUAGAUCCGAUAGCCUCUAUGGGGCGUCCCCCAUUUUCUCCCCUCCCCUACUUUUGGUUAUAGGGCUGAGCUCAGGGUGGCGCUUCCUGUCCCGUUCCCCACUUCCUGCCCUACAACCGCCUCCACCCCAACGGCUGCUGCCCCACAGCUGCCCCCCAAUCUUGUGGGGCGGCCCCAUGGCGCUCCCC